UUGCUGCCUGGGAACUCCUCAAGGGCAGGAUCUUAUUGAAGAUGUUUGUAUCAGCAGCACCUGGCAGAGUGCCUGGGCCCAAAAGUACACUCCCAAGAAACAUUUGCUGAAUUUAAUUACAACAUCUUGCAGGUUCUCUGACCAUCCAGUGCCUUGCUGUUUAAUAAAGAGAUGGGGAUCUCGCCGUGUUGCUCAGACUGGUGUCAAAUUCCUGGACUCAAGCCAUCCUUCCACCUCGGCCUCCCAAACUGUUGGGAUUACAGGACAUAGUGGUUGCUUCCAAUGCUUGGAGGGUCUGAAUAGAGCAUCUAUAAACGUUCAUAUGCAAGUUUUUGUGUGGGCAUCAGUUUCCGAAUCAAG
rnacentral:lncRNA from 13 species